CACAGAUUAGGCCCUGGGAGCUGCUGUGGCCUGGCCCUGGCUCUGACACCAGUUUUUCAUGACUUUGGAAAAUGUCCAUGAUUUCUGUGCUACUCAACUCUCUGGAGUCUAUCAGCAGCAACUCCACCGACUGAACUUGGAACUAACAGUUUUAUGGAACAACUAUUUGGAGGUGUUUUCAAGCAAGGAGCAGAAGAGACAGAGCUCCAGGAUAACGGGUGAAGUCUCUUCCUUGCUUUCUCUAUGGUAGCAAGAUCAUUGGAGAGGCCCAAAGGCUCCGGUUGCCUAACCCUGCUGAGCCUGGUUAUCCAUUUGGAGAUGCCUGUGGCACAUCCCCAGCUUGCCUCCCUGGCCUCCUGCAGGUUUUCUCCCACUCCAGCAGCACAUCUCCUGCAGCAGCCGCGCGGUUCCUCCCCUGCAGCCCGCGUGGCAGAAGCUGCUCGCGAGCCUCUGUGGGAGUUACCGCUACGUUUGUGAAGAACAAGUUUUGAAGCAGAAAUGUGGCUCAGAAUAGCUCUGUCUUACUCCCAUUCCCUGGAAACAUGACUCCAACAAGGCGUCUGCGAGGCACUGAGGGUAUGAAAGCGUAUUGCAGAGCGAGCAAGCUCGUAUCAUCAAACACAGCCAGCCAGUACAAAAAUUUCUGCCAUGUAGCGUGGCGCUGAUUUAAAGCGGUCUGGAAUGCAAUAAAAGGUUUUUUGUAGCAUCCUAAACAGAAGGAUAUUGAAGGGAGCUGAUUCUGCUUUGAUCCUUAUGCUUGUUGUCAAAGCGCUUGGGAUUGAAGAGACUGUUGGCUACAAUUGACUGUGACAAUUAGGAGAUGAUCAGAGCCCUAGAGUGGAGCACUUAAAGGGUUUCCCUUUAAAGCACUCUCAGAG